ACGGGUGAUCUUAAGAGGUCUAUUGAGCCUGAAGUAGAGCUCAGAAAAGACAAUGGAUUUUCAGACUCAAAUUCUCAGCUUUCUGUUGCUCAGUGUCACAGUGUCCAAUGGACAAAUUGUGCUCACCCAGUCUCCAGCAUCCCUGGCUGCUUCCCCAGGGGACAAGGUCACCAUCACCUGCACAGCCAGCUCCAGUGUAAGCACCAACUACUUGCACUGGUACCAACAAAAGCCGGGAGCCUCUCCAAAGCUCCUAGUUUAUAGAACAUCAAACCUGGCCUCAGGAGUCCCAGCUCGCUUCAGUGGAAGUGGGUCUGGGACCUCCUACUCUCUCAUAAUCAGCAACGUGGAGGCUGAAGAUGCUGCAACCUAUUACUGUCAACAGAAUAGCAGCUCUCCACCCACACAGUGCUACAGACUGCAACAAAAACCCCUUCAGCACCUCAAGGCCCAGCUGCAUCUGGCUCACAGACUGAACUGUCAAAGGUUUUAG